UUGCAGUGAUGACUUGUAAAUCUGUCAAUCCCCUGACUAAUCACUGAUGUCUCCAUGUCUCUGAGCAG